rnacentral:rRNA from 1 species
GACGAACGCUGGCGGCGUGCUUAACACAUGCAAGUCGAACGGAAAGGCCCUGCUUUUGUGGGGUGCUCGAGUGGCGAACGGGUGAGUAACACGUGAGUAACCUGCCCUUGACUUUGGGAUAACUUCAGGAAACUGGGGCUAAUACCGGAUAGGAGCUCCUGCUGCAUGGUGGGGGUUGGAAAGUUUCGGCGGUUGGGGAUGGACUCGCGGCUUAUCAGCUUGUUGGUGAGGUAGUGGCUUACCAAGGCUUUGACGGGUAGCCGGCCUGAGAGGGUGACCGGCCACAUUGGGGCUGAGAUACGGCCCAGACUCCUACGGGAGGCAGCAGUGGGGAAUAUUGCACAAUGGGCGGAAGCCUGAUGCAGCAACGCCGCGUGCGGGAUGACGGCCUUCGGGUUGUAAACCGCUUUCGCCUGUGACGAAGCGUGAGUGACGGUAAUGGGUAAAGAAGCACCGGCUAACUACGUG